rnacentral:rRNA from 1 species
UACGGAGGGCGCAAGCGUUGUUCGGAAUCACUGGGCGUAAAGCGCGUGUAGGCGGCUUGGCAAGUCGGAUGUGAAAUCCCGAGGCUCAACCUCGGAACUGCACUCGAAACUGCCUGGCUCGAGUCCCGGAGAGGGUGGCGGAAUUCCCGGUGUAGGGGUGAAAUCCGUAGAUAUCGGGAGGAAAACCAGUGGCGAAGGCGGCCACCUGGACGGUGACUGUCGCUGAGAAGCGAAAGCGUGGGGAGCAAACAGG